rnacentral:rRNA from 1 species
AUUGAACGCUGGCGGCAGGUCUAACACAUGCAAGUCGAGCGAGCGGCGGACGGGUGAGGAAGGUCUGGGAAACCGCCUGACGGAGGGGGAUCACUACCGGAAACGGCAGCUAAUACCGCAUCCCAUCAGAUGUGCCCAGAUGGGAUUAGCUAGUCGGUGGGGUAACGGCCCACCUAGGCGACGAUCCCUAGCUGGUCUGAGAGGAUGACCAGCCACCCUGGAACGGAGACACGGUCCAGACUCCUACGGGAGGCAGCAGUGGGGAAUAUUGCACAAUGGGCGCAAGCCUGAUGCAGCCAUGCCGCGUGUGUGAAGAAGGCCUUCGGUUUGUAAAGCACUUUCAUCGGGGAGGCGUUACCCGCAGAAUAAGCACCGGCUAACUCCGUGCCAGCAGCCGCGGUAAUUC